ensembl:lncRNA ABCC13 ATP binding cassette subfamily C member 13 (pseudogene)
GGAGUGCGUGUCCUCCCACCGUGCUGGCGCUGAACUGACUGUCCGCUGCCAAGGGAAGUGACAGCCGCAGCCGGGCUCUCAGCCAGCGGCCAGGCGCCCCGCGGACCAUGCUCUCCAGUACGCAGAACGCGGGCGGCUCCUAUCAGCGGGUCCGCGGGGCGCUUGAUACACAGAGUAAUUACUUUAGGCUAUAAGAGACCUUUGGAAAGAGAGGAUCUUUUUGAACUAAAGGAAAGUGAUUCCUUCUGCACUGCGUGUCCCAUCUUUGAAAAACAAUGGAGAAAGGAAGUUUUAAGGAAUCAAGAGAGGCAAAAAGUAAAGUUAUGUAGGUAUCUUGUUAUAAAGAGGCACAUAUCAAGAAACCAUCUCUACUCUAUGCAUUGUGGAACACCUUUAAAUCCAUCCUGAUUCAAGUUGCCUUAUUCAAAGUGUUUGCUGAUAUUUUGUCCUUCACUAGCCCACUCAUAAUGAAGCAAAUUAUCAUUUUCUGUGAACACAGCUCAGAUUUUGGCUGGAAUGGCUAUGGCUAUGCAGUGGCACUUCUUGUUGUAGUCUUUUUGCAAACUCUGAUUCUUCAGCAAUAUCAACGUUUUAACAUGCUCACCUCAGCAAAAGUUAAGACAGCUGUAAAUGGACUGAUCUACAAAAAGGUGUCCCUGGCAACCUUGUGUGUCUAUUUCUUACUGGAUGAAGGAAACAUUUUAACAGCCACUAAAGUGUUCACAUCGAUGUCUUUGUUUAAUAUUUUAAGGAUUCCUCUGUUUGAGUUACCAACCGUGAUCUCAGCUGUGGUCCAGACAAAGAUAUCCCUGGGCCGUUUGGAAGACUUUCUCAACACUGAGGAGCUUCUUCCUCAAAGUAUUGAAACGAACUAUACAGGAGAUCAUGCUAUUGGGUUUACAGAUGCUUCUUUCUCCUGGGAUAAAACAGGAAUGCCAGUUCUAAAAGAGGCUCUGUGGCUUAUGUUUCUCAGCAGGCCUGGAUUCAGAAUUGCAUUUUGCAAGAAAACAUUCUCUUUGGCUCCAUCAUGAAGAAAGAGUUUUAUGAGCAAGUAUUGGAAGCCUGUGCUCUCCUUCCAGAUUUGGAGCAGUUGCCAAAGGGAGAUCAAACUGAGAUUGGAGAAAGAGUAAGGAAACUGUAAUUUAUCAUGUAAAGAAAUAUAAUCCCAUUCAGCUGUGCUAAUAAAAUGUUUAUGGCCUUUUUCUUGAAGUCUC